rnacentral:rRNA from 1 species
GACGAACGCUGGCGGCGUGCCUAGUACAUGCAAGUCGAGCGCAGGAAACUGACGGAACUCUUCGGAGGGAAGGCAGUGGAAUGAGCGGCGGACGGGUGAGUAACACGUAAGGAACCUGCCUCAAGGAUUGGGAUAGCUCCGAGAAAUCGGAGCUAAUACCGGAUAGUUCAUCGGACCGCAUGGUCCGCUGAUGAAAGGCGCUCCGGCGUCACCUUGAGAUGGCCUUGCGGUGCAUUAGCUAGUUGGUGGGGUAACGGCCCACCAAGGCGACGAUGCAUAGCCGACCGGAGAGGGUGAUCGGCCACACUGGGACUGAGACACGGCCCAGACUCCUACGGGAGGCAGCAGUAGGGAAUCUUCCACUAUGGACGAAAGUCUGAUGGAGCAACGCCGCGUGAGUGAUGAAGGUUUUCGGAUCGUAAAACUCUGUUGUAAGGGAAGAACACGUACGAGAGGGAAUGCUCGUACCUUGACGGUACCUUACGAGAAAGCCACGGCUAACUACGUGCCAGCCGCCGCUGUAA